UACAGAGGGUGCGAGCGUUGUUCGGAAUUACUGGGCGUAAAGCGCACGCAGGCGGUUCGCCAAGUUUGGAGUGACAGUUGUCGGCUCAACCGACAAAGGACUUCAAAAACUGGUGAACUUGAGGACGAGAGAGGAACAUGGAACUCCAGGUGUAGUAGUGAAAUGCGUAGAUAUCUGGAAGAACACCAAUGGCGAAGGCAAUGUUCUGGCUCGUUUCUGACGCUCAGGUGCGAAAGCCAGGGGAGCGAACGGG
rnacentral:rRNA from 1 species